rnacentral:rRNA from 1 species
GAUGAACGCUGGCGGCGUGCCUAAUACAUGCAAGUCGAGCGGUAAGGCCACUCCGGUGGUACACGAGCGGCGCCGGCAGAGUAACGCGUAGGAACGUACCCCAAACUGAGGGAUAACUCUGGGAAACCAGAGCUAAUACCGCAUGUGCUCCACGGAGUAAAGCUUCGGCGGUUUGGGAACGGCCUGCGUAUGAUUAGCUUGUUGGUAAGGUAAUGGCUUACCAAGGCGACGAUCAUUAGCUGGUCUGAGUGGAUGAUCAGCCUGACUGGGACUGAGACACGGCCCAGACUCCUACGGGAGGCAGCAGUGGGGAAUCUUGGACAAUGGGCGCAAGCCUGAUCCAGCCAUGCCGCGUGAGUGAAGAAGGUCUUCGGAUUGUAAAGCUCUUUUGCCAGGGACGAUAAUGACGGUACCUGGAGAAUAAGCCCCGGCAAACUUCGUGCCAGCCGCCGCCGUAA